CGAUGGUAGGAUAGAGGCCUACCAUGGUGGUAACGGGUAACGGGGAAUUAGGGUUCGAUUCCGGAGAGGGAGCCUGAGAAACGGCUACCACUUCCAAGGAAGGCAGCAGGCGCGCAAAUUACCCAAUCCCGACACGGGGAGGUAGUGACAAUAAAUAACAAUACGGGGCUCUUUCGGGUCUCGUAAUUGGAAUGAGUACAAUUUAAAUCCCUUAACGAGGAACAAUUGGAGGGCAAGUCUGGUGCCAGCAGCCGCGGUAAUUCCAGCUCCAAUAGCGUAUAUUAAAGUUGUUGCAGUUAAAAAGCUCGUAGUUGAAUUUCGGGAUUGACGUGAUGGUCGUGCCUUAAGGGGUAUGAACUGUCGCAGUUGAUUUCUCACCUUCUGGAGAAGCAUGAUGUCCUUAAUUGGGUGUCAUGUGGAACCAGGACCUUUACCUUGAAAAAAUUAGAGUGUUUAAAGCAGGCAUUUUGCUCGAAUACAUUAGCAUGGAAUAAUAGAAUAGGACGGCAUGGUUCUAUUUUGUUGGUUUCUAGGAUCACCGUAAUGAUUAAUAGGGAUAGUUGGGGGCAUUAGUAUUCAAUUGUCAGAGGUGAAAUUCUUGGAUUUAUUGAAGACUAACUACUGCGAAAGCAUUUGCCAAGGAUGUUUUCAUUAAUCAAGAACGAAAGUUAGGGGAUCGAAGACGAUCAGAUACCGUCGUAGUCUUAACCAUAAACUAUGCCGACUAGGAAUCAGAC
rnacentral:rRNA from 1 species